ACAGUUCUGUCUAAAGGUGUCUAAAUUGACUGUUGCAAUACAGAGCAAAGUUUAAGGCAUUUUAUGUAACGGAAAUUGAGCUGAAGCUGUCACUAAAAGUGAUCAUUUGUCAUUGUGAACAUACCACAAGACAUCACACAGUGCAUCACAAAUGAAAUGUGACCUCUGCAUUUAACACAUUUAAUUUAUUAUUAUUUUUUACAAUAAUUAGGAAUUUCUUGAGGACGACAGACUGUGGAGACCAUGGAGCAAAUUGGACAGUACAAGCUAUGCAGCACAACAAGCAGGCUGAUUCCAGCAGCUGUGGCAUUUUAGCACUGAUGUUUUCUGAACAUUAUCUUGAGAGGGGAGACAUCAGUGGUGUCAAGACAUCUCCACAAGCAAUAAACAAGGCAAGACUUGAAGUAGCCUGUGCACUGCUCCAGUGUAAAGGGAAUGCAGAUGACUUUUGUGUGCUUUGCUCAUUGCUGGAAACUGAUGCUGAUAAGAGCAUGAUUGAAAUGGUGCAGUGUGAUAUGUGCAGUAGGUGGGCACAUUUUGAAUGUGCCCAAUAUGAGAAAGACAGUUGUUUGCCAUAUCUGUGCAAAAAGUGUCAGAAAAAAGAAUAAUGUUCUCAAUUAUUUCAUACUGUAUAAGCCCUGUUUAGAAUGUGCUUAG